rnacentral:rRNA from 1 species
UACAGGGGGUGCAAACGUUGCUCGGAAUUAUUGGGCGUAAAGCGCGCGUAGGCGGCCACUUAAGUCGGAUGUGAAAGCCCCUGGCUCAACUGGGGAAGUGCACCCGAAACUGAAUGGCUUGAGUGCGAAAGAGGGUCGCGGAAUUCCCGGUGUAGAGGUGAAAUUCGUAGAUAUCUGGAGGAACACCGGUGGCGAAGGCGGAUCUCUGGGCCAUUACUGACGCUGAGGAGCGAAAGCGUGGGGAGCGAACAGG